GCAGACCAUCUGUUAAGGUUCCGGGGGAAGCCUCAGUUGGUCAUACGUGGCGAAGGCAGCCAAUGAGGCAGAACUCGAGCACGGCCGUGGACGUGCCAGAGGUCGCCGAACCCCCCGUGCUGACCGCAAGGGAAGGGCUCCGAGCUCCAGGGAUCACGGACACUCCGAGGGAAGGGGCUGAGGGCCGCUGGGGCGUCUGCUGGGCCUCUGCCAGGCCUCCGUUGUCCCCGUGUCUUGGAAACUGGGAAACGUGUUGCUUUGCUGUCUAUUUUUGGUACCAGAGGACUGUGGCUUUUCCCGAACAAGCGUGUCUCUCGUGUUAACAGUGUGCGAGCAGACGUGCCCUGGGAAGGCUGGUUCAAGGCUAACGGGGCAAGAAUUACAACACGCAGCGAGUAACUUGUAAUUUAAAGCGAAGCCUGCAGAUCUUCUCAAACCUUUAUCCCAAGUGUGAAGUUUUGUUUUCAAUGCUUGAAAGGCCAGAGUUGUCUUCGUAAAAAGAGACUGGGCCUCGGCAGGCCAGACCAGGGGGACGUCUGACCUCGGCCAUCACUGGCCAGGCCCUGAAGGGCUCUGGCAUUCACCUGCUCUCGUCUCCAACACGUCCCUCGCCCCGGAAAGUUCAGCGUGCGCUUCAUAUGUCUUGCAAAGCAACAGCAAUGGGGUCUAAGUAAUUGUCGAGCAGCACAAGAAGGAGGGCGUAACAAAGUUAAGGUGCAUGACUUUCACACUGGACUUCUCAUACUUGCUUGAGAAUCUGGAAAAAGCAGCAGACUUUGAUUUCGGAAAAACACACAAUGUGCAACAUCAAACUGCCCUCCACAUAAAUGGAGAGGACAAAUUCUUUUUUUUUUUUUUUUUUUUUUAGUUUGUUUAUUUAUUUUGAGAGAGACAGAGUGUGAGUGGCAGAGGGGCAGAGAAAGAGGAAGAAUGUCAAGCAGGUUCUGUGCUGUCAGCACAGAGCCCACACGGGACUCGAACUCACGAAAUCGUGAGACCAUGAACCAAACCCAGUGGAAAUUGGGAGUCAGAUACCCAAGCCGCUGAGCCACCCUGGGGGCCCCAAGAGGACAGAUUCUUUAAUGGGAAGUAUCAGAGGAGGUAACGACACAAAGGGAAAGCAGCAAGACCUUUUUGUUUCACUCAUUAAAACGUUGACUCUUGUUUCACACCCACUAAGUGCUGGAGCGUUCUGGGCACUUUGGGAAUGCAAAGCAAAUAUAAGGCAUCCCUUUUGCCAUCCAGAAGUUCAGUGCAGUGAAGGUAGACACACCUGCAAAUCAUUCUCGUUUGUUUUUUAAUUUCAAAAUCAUCAUAAACUUAUAGGAAAGUUGCAGGUGCAAGAUGAAGACAUUUUUCUUCCAUCGCUUAAUGCGAAGUUGCCGAUCUGUCGUCCCAACUCUGAUAACCAUGUCUCUUAUUUUCUGUAUUCUGAUGCUCUGACAGCUGGGGUCUUGCUGCCCCUGGAGGGGCCGCCCCUAGCAGGGUAGCCCGUUCCUAAAGAUAACGAACAACCCGCAUCGAGCAUGCUUUUCAAUGCAAACCAACCAAGCCAGAGUCCGCACCCAUGAUCUUCACCAAACACCUGAUCGCCCCAAAGCAGGUACCAGACAAGAAGGACAGCUUCUCUGCCCGAGAGCCUACUGAUAGUUCAAAACAGCCAAUCCCACGCCCGCUCGCCCUGCCUCGCCUGUUCUUCCCAUGGAAGCAAGAGUAAAAGCUCUGGUCUACCUUUUCCCUUCACUCCCUCUGCUUCCUUACAGACACUGCUUCCCCUUGUGGGCCUGUGUGGGGUGCCACGGCGCCCGGAGACUAUAACCAACUAGAUAGAUCUUCAAUGGCGGUCUCUCGUUCCCGUACCUAAAUGAUAACAAAACCUGUUAAACCACGGUCAUCUGCGACUACUUCCUCCAGAAUUGACCGUUUCUCCCAGGAGUCCUGUAUCUUUUGAGAGGAUAAUGGUAUUGAGAAGUCAAGCCCCAGGCACUGGAUGUGUUCAUUUCCAUGGGGGUGUUGCCGCUCCGGGCCUUCUUGGGGAGCAGAAGGAGGAAGCAUCGGAUCAUCAGUUCCACAUGAAGCCAAAAGGUCCACUUUUUUUCCUUUUUUUCUUAACAUCUAAACUGGCUUCGAAUGGAGACAGACUUCUCCUUUACUUAUUUCCAUCUUACUUUUUUUACAAACUAGUAUCCGUGAGCGUGCAUUUUACGCUACGUAACACAAGGGCAUGAUUUGACCGUAGUUUCUUUUUGCCACGAGGGGUUGGCACAAAGCCUCUCUCUGCAUCAGGUUCCGCUGCACCAGCUCGGCGAGGAGGAGUGUGCAGCGCCUGGGCUCAGGCCGCAGAGCUGGGCUGUUUGGGGCAAGACUCACGAUCUUGCUGGCAUGCCCUCUCCUGUGCCGUGAAAUGGAAGAAUUGCCCCCGUCAGGG